AAAACUGCUUGGAUUCACAGUCCAAGCUAGAGUCUCAAAUAGUUUUUUAAGGAACACUUGUAAGGUUUAUCGUGAGCAUGAGGAUCAUUUUCGUGAGGUGAAGAGAGAGCAACAAUGACAGAGCACGAUCGCAUGUGUGGCAGCCAGUGUCUGGGUCCGAUGACUUUCCAUCUGCAACUGAGAGGCCAAUAUGUGACCAUCAGCCAAGGAGGGCGACUGGCGUCCAGAGACGAUUCGUUCUUUAUGAACGGUUUGGCUUUUCUAAGUCGCACCGUAAAGGUGAAUGAAAAGAUGUGUUUGCUUAUCGAGGACUGCACCUCUUCCUGGGAUGGAGCCCUUCGCGUAGGUUUCACCAACAUCUGCCCAAAUACGCACAGCAUCCCACCUGCCUCUAUACUAGAGCUGAGGGAUACGCUGGGCUAUUGUGUCGUGCCAGUGCCUGAGGACUUGUGUAGACGCAGUGAAGAGAUUCAGUUCUGGAUAAACUAUGCAGGCAUGGUUCUUAUGUAAGGGACAAGUGGAGAUAGAUAUUACCUCAAAGCAGCAGGACUGAAUCUGAACAAACCACUUUGGGUUUUCGUUUAUCUGUACGGGAGCACAAGCGCAGUGCGCCUUUUGGGCUCAAGGAGGGGGAGUCGCACAUCAUGCCCAGUUUGUCUCUUAAACACCACACUGGGCAUUAACUGGCUUGUUGAUCAUACUACAGAUGGUGAGAAUAAAGUUCGAGAGGAAAAGCAUCUCAACUCUAGUCUCAUUUUAUCAGGAAAUAAACACAAAGCAGAAACCAGAAAAGCCCAGAAAACAUCCUCUUGCUGGGAACUGAAUCUCUUCCUCCUACAGUAUGCCAACCAGAAGACUGUUCCUAACCCUGCAGAGUGUUCAGAACUCACAAGAGCUGGCUUAGGAAUACCUGUUUGUGAGUCAACGAGACAUGUUGAUCUAAACUGGACUUGGAGAGAGCUGAAUCACUAUUUGCUCCAGCUAUCCCUUGGUUGAGCUGGAUUCAAUUGGUUUCUGUACUGCAAAGGGUGAUAAAUAUGGAAGACUUUGCAGACUACACGGCAACACUCCGAAGAAGCUGAAAAAAGAGUUGGGAGAGAGUGUUCUUUAUAUCAUACCCGGGAGAGACAUUGUACUAAACGAGGACUGCUUCCUGAACUGUGCAGAGUUGAAUGUUGAAUUUUCAAGACGGUUAGUCCUGAAAGAUGGGGCAGUUCCCACUUUGUUGGGACAAUCUGGCACUUCAGGAUUACAACCUAUGACCACAAUACAAAUGUGUCCUCACCACCAUGCUGUCCUUCACCUGUUACUGCACAACAACGGAGGCACCAACUGAUAUCAACCAGCAGUUGCCUUUCAAAUUUAAGCCAAAACUCUUCAGUGGAGGACAUGGACAUUAGGUCUUUGCUCAGAGAGAUUCAGCACAUGCAUCUCAGCACCAGUGAGCAGGUUUCAGUAUUGGUUAACCGAAAUAAGUUGCUGCAGAGUGCCAAAGAUGCUCUCUCCAACUGCAAUUUCUCCUGGACCAAAAUCCCUCUGGUGACAUUUGUUGGCGAGGAGGCUCUUGACUGUGGAGGUCCCCGGAGAGAGUUCUUCAGAAUCCUCAUGAUGGUGGUGCAACGCGCUCUGGGCAUCUUUGAGGGGAAGCCUGGACACUUGUUCUGUGGCUCAUGGUGGACCAGGACUCAAGGCUCUUGAUCCCUGCCUGUUCCAGCUGAUGUGUACCCAGGAAUGUCCACUGGUAGACUUUGACUGGUACUUUAUACCAGAUUCUGAAAUCCAGGACAAAUUACAAAAGGUAUCUUUCCACUUGUUUAUCCAUCCAUCACUCCAUCCAUCCAUCCAUCCAUCUGCCUAUCCAUCCAUCCACCCAUCCAUCACCCAUAUCUCUAUCGUCCAUCCGACCAUUCAUCAUCCAUCCAGCCAUCCAUUCCUCCGUUCGUCUGUCCGUCCAUCCGUCCAUCCAUCAAUCGAUCGAUCUGUCCGUACAUCCAUCUGUCUGUCCAUCCAUCCAUUUAUCCAUCUAUCCCACCGUCUGUCCAUCCAUCCAUCGAUCUGUCCAUUCAUCCUUCUGUCUAUCCAUCCAUACAUCCAUUCAUUCAUUCAUCCAUCCAUCCGUCCAUCGAUCGAUCUGUCCAUCCAUCUAUCUCAUAUCAUCUUAUUCUUUAUUAUAGAUUUUAUCAUGUAAAAUGACAGCUGAGCUCCAUGAGCUGUAAAGAGAGCAGGGAGACUGGAUAUGUGAAUGUGGUUUUCCUGGAAUUUACAGACCUGACAUUUCCAUCCGAGAUGUACCAAAAAUUUACUCCUAUGCAGUACGACACUACAUAUAUCUUGGGUAGGCCUAAAAAUAUGGAAAUUAUGGAUUCCCAUUUAAUGAGAAAUGAACAGAUUACCGAUAAUUUAUUUCACUCUUAGUUUCACUUGUAUAUGUAAGAAUCUAACAACCUCUGUUAAUUUUACAGUACAUCAAAUAUGUUUAAUCAGUUCACAGAAGGACUGAAUGCUUAUGGACAGUUCUGGGAUAUGGUAAAAGCUAACUGGAUUGAGUUCCUGUCCAUCUUUACCAACAUGCAUGAUUCAUUGUCAAGAAGCACAUUCAGAGUCCUGUUUCAAAUCCACUGGAGUAAAGUAGGGACCAAGAAGAGGGAAGAUGAGGAAGGGACUAUUCAUUAAUUGGAAUUGCUCCUUAAGAUGAUUGAAGGUGAGUUACUUGUUAGGUAGUUAAACAUUAGUCUAAGCCUCAGAAUUCCCAAGACCGCCCAAAGUCCGUUCACACUGUCUGAUGCAUAUUUUACACAAAACUGGAAAGCACUUUCUGGCAAGUUCUAUUAUGAUUGGCUUAAUUUAUGUAGAAUUAUGUCUGUGAAAUAAAGUAUAAUUAUUACUUUUGGACAGACAAAAAAAAAAAAAAAAAAGAAAAACAGAUGAUAACAUGCCAGUCUAACAUUGUGCUAUAAUCUGUUUAAGAUAAUCUUGCCAAUAAAUUUCAUGGAAAACAAAACAAAUAAAAAAACAAUUUAAAUAAACUUUGUCACAUAUGCCUGUCAGGCACUUCUUGUCUUUGUGGGUGGUUCUUGGCCAGAAUAAUCUGCAAUGAGGACCAGACUUGUUAGUCAAAAUUCUGGCUACAUGAGACUAGUUAAACAAAAACAAGGACUGACUGCAUUUCAACUUUCCUUUCACUUCUACAUUUAAAAGAAAGAGACAAAAAAACAGAGUUACAUUUUGAGGAGCUUUUGGUUUUCAUAACUGGAGCGGAUGAUGUCCCACCACUCGGGUUCUCUCAAAAGACCGGCAUUCACUUCUACCAGCCAGAGAGGCGUGGAUGCCAUCUACCAUAUGCAAACACAUGCAUGAUGGGAUUGUUCCUCCCCAGAGUUGUAAAAGAUGAAAUAGAACUGUACCGAAUGCUCCUGAGAGCAGUCAGAGACUCAUAAAACUAUACAAUGUAAUCAUUAUAAUGUAAAACAUAAUUAUGCCCAUUUAUAAGAUAUUAUUUAAUUAAAGCACCUAUGCGUAGUGAUUUGUAUAUUAUAUUUUUAUUAUGACAUAAUGAUGUUUUCUAUGCUAUGCUAGACAUACUUUUUGUAGCCUAUAGUUGUAUGUAAGUUGAACACAAGGUAUUUGUAAAUAAAAGUCAUAUUUUUAUUAUUGUACACAUGUCA